rnacentral:rRNA from 1 species
AACGAACGCUGGCGGCGUGCCUAAUACAUGCAAGUCGAGCGAACAGAGAAGGAGCUUGCUCCUUCGACGUUAGCGGCGGACGGGUGAGUAACACGUGGGCAACCUACCUUAUAGUUUGGGAUAACUCCGGGAAACCGGGGCUAAUACCGAAUAAUCUGUUUCACCCCAUGGUGAAACACUGAAAGACGGUUUCGGCUGUCGCUAUAGUGUGGGCCCGCGGCGCAUUAGCUAGUUGGUGAGGUAACGGCUCACCAAGGCGACGAUGCGUAGCCGACCUGAGAGGGUGAUCGGCCACACUGGGACUGAGACACGGCCCAGACUCCUACGGGAGGCAGCAGUAGGGAAUCUUCCACAAUGGGCGAAAGCCUGAUGGAGCAACGCCGCGUGAGUGAAGAAGGAUUUCGGUUCGUAAAACUCUGUUGUAAGGGAAGAACAAGUACAGUAGUAACUGGCUGUACCUUGACGGUACCUUAUUAGAAAGCCACGGCUAACUACGUGCCAGCCGCCGCCGUAA